ACCAGAAUUAACAAUGAAUCUUUCAGCACCACACUCAAUUUCAAUUGGAAACACUGCUCAGUCUUCACCUUUAUUUAGGAUGAAUGUUUUUGGUUUUGUUUUCCUUUUUUUCUUCUUCAGUUGAUCUAUCCAAGAUCUCAGCCAAAGCUUGCAACUGUGUCAUAGUUAGAAAUCCAACUGCCUGACUAGAGCUUGUUUAAGGGAAAAGAAUUCAGAAUAUUCAGCACCUUGCUAUGUUUUUUUUUUCUUUUUUUCCUUUUCUUUUUGUUGUUGUUAGAACAAAGUUGAGACAAUUUGAUAUACUGAUGGGGAUUCUUCUUGCUAGCCUAGCUUCAGUCUGGCUUUUUUUUCCCUCAUGCAUGCUGACCUGGAAAUCCUCCUUUGCCUUAGCUGCGAUAAUCGUGACUCAGCUUACAACACCUUACAUUCGCAUCGCCCCCGCUGCAGGCGACGGCCAACUAACAGGAGCUGCCACUCCAAAACCAGUCCCAGAACCCGAGAAACAGACAGACCAUACAGUUAAAAUUGCUGGAGUCAUUGCAGGCAUCUUGCUGUUCGUGAUUAUAUUUCUUGGAGUUGUGUUGGUAAUGAAGAAAAGGAAACUGGCCAAGAAGCGGAAAGAGACCAUGAGCAGCACCCGACAGGAGAUGACUGUGAUGGUGAACUCAAUGGACAAGAGCUAUGCUGAGCAGGGCACAAACUGCGACGAGGCUUUCUCAUUCAUGGACACGCACAAUCUGAAUGGGAGAUCUGUGUCUUCACCAUCGUCCUUCACAAUGAAAACAAAUACACUGAGCACAUCGGUGCCUAAUUCCUAUUACCCAGAGCUUCUUUGAAGGGCAGUCUGCACCAUGGGACUCGGCUAAGAAAGAUGAGAACAGAAUGAAGAACAGAUACGGGAAUAUCAUUGCAUACGAUCAUUCCCGAGUGAGGCUGCAGACAAUAGAAGGAGACACAAACUCAGAUUAUAUCAAUGGCAAUUAUAUCGAUGGUUAUCAUCGACCCAAUCAUUACAUUGCUACCCAAGGGCCAAUGCAGGAAACCAUCUAUGACUUCUGGAGGAUGGUGUGGCACGAAAACACUGCAAGUAUCAUCAUGGUGACCAAUCUUGUGGAAGUGGGAAGGGUCAAAUGCUGCAAAUACUGGCCAGAUGACACAGAGAUAUAUAAAGACAUUAAAGUUACCCUAAUAGAAACAGAACUACUGGCAGAAUAUGUGAUAAGAACAUUUGCUGUUGAAAAGAGAGGUGUGCAUGAAAUCCGAGAGAUCAGACAGUUUCACUUCACUGGCUGGCCGGAUCAUGGGGUCCCCUACCAUGCCACCGGCCUGCUGGGAUUCGUGCGGCAAGUCAAGUCCAAGAGCCCGCCCAGUGCAGGCCCACUGGUGGUGCACUGCAGUGCUGGUGCAGGGAGGACUGGCUGUUUCAUCGUCAUUGAUAUCAUGUUGGACAUGGCCGAAAGGGAAGGGGUCGUAGACAUCUACAACUGCGUCAGGGAGCUGCGGUCACGGAGGGUGAACAUGGUGCAAACAGAGGUACUCCCGCUCAUCACCUAGCCUGGGGCCUUGGUCCCUGGGCUCCCUCCUGCAUCUCCCCAUUUCAGGGCCAAGGGCACAAGGAAUCCAGGCAAUUAUCUGUUAAAGUGAUCUACCUGGCAUUCCCUGUUCCUUCCUUCCCUCCCUCCCUUCCUCCUUUUUGUUUUUCCUCUCAUAAACAAACCAAACAAACCCAGGAGUUUUCCAGGUAACAGAAUCAAGAACCCAAAUUUGCACACUUUUCUGUAUUAAGGGACCCAAAAAAGUCUCUGUUAAGUGCUCAGACUUUCAAUACCAUUUCCUUUUAUUAUCUCUUUUAAACUAGCUGGUAACCAGAGCAAGACCGCUCCUGAGAAUAGUGGCUGAAGGGUUAUCUCUGUGCACUUUGUUCUUCUCCCAGGGUCCUGGGAAGAAUAGAAGCCUCCUGACCCUAAAAAUUCUGCCCAGUGUCUGGCGUCCUGGGGAUUUGCCCAUUUUGUGAAGUACUGUAUACUAAUUAGUAACUCUGUAAGUGGAAAUUCAAGGUAUAUCGGGAAUUUCCAUUUUUUCAGAAGCAAUAUUACAUCCUGCUCUUAGGACAUUCGUAUUUUUACUCAUAUUUGAUUGUUUUAAGUAGGCGUCACACCGACCACCUGGAAAAUGAUUCAUGAAGUGAAGUGAAGAAGAAGUAAGAAUCCCUUACAUUUAGAUGGUGCAUUUAGGUUUAUGAAAGCCUCUGAGAAACCUAAUCCCAUUUUUUUAGCUAACAUAAAAAUAACAGAAACUUUAAAUGCUGCUUUCAUGGGUUCUUUUCCUUAGAAAGGGGAUACUGUGUUUGAAAGAUAAUAAUCAUAAUAAUUUAUCUUUUAAUGUACUUUAUAGUCAAUCAAAUGUUGCCCUCGCAUUUCUCACUUGGAUCUUCCAUUUUCACGUGUUGUUUGCUGGUAGUGUGCUGUUUUUGGGAAUCAAUCUGUUGGACAAGAGGUUGUUGAAAAAAAUAAUUAAAGGUCAUAUUUACAUAUAGAAAAAAACCAAAUUAACUGUAAUAAGAGGCUUUUUAAACUUCCCAUAUAACUAAAGAUUAAUAACAAAUAUAAGACUCUACCAAUGAAUUUUAAGAAAAGUCAGUGCCAAAUCAGAAUUAGAGGCCCCAUGUUUACGCUGUGAACUCAUUGAAGAUAUAUAUGAGAACAGCUCUCUGUACUUCUAAGAGGUUUCAUAAUCAUAUUAACUUUUAUGUUCUGAAAUAAGAACUUCUAAGUACUUUUACAUUUUGAAUUAAGAACUUCCAGACUUCUUGUCUUCACAGUAAUGCCAAGUUUUUCUGGACCUUCUUUGCACUAUUAUUUUGACCAGCAAAUCCUACCAUAGAUAAAAUUCUGCUCAUUCCUCAUGUGAAAUACUGAGUUCCAAGUGAGUAGGAUCAGAGUGACAGAGGUCUUCAGCCACAGUUUUCAUGGUGCUGCAGUGCGUGUGGUGGUUUGUAUUGGGUCCGAUUGGUUUUAAUCAAUCUGUAUAAUAUUUGGCAUUGCACCCCAGUCUCCUAGCACUUGAGCCCUUGGACCGUGUUUCUCUCUGGAGGAACUGUCUCCACUCUCUUGAUGAUGUGAGGCUAAAAUUGAUACCGUCUUUCCUCCUUCUCUGGUUCUCUAAAGUUAGUAACUCGUUCCAUCUCCUUCUCCAGGAGCAGUAUGUGUUUAUCCACGAUGCGAUCCUGGAAGCCUGUCUUUGUGGGGACACCUCUGUGCCUGCUUCCCAAGUUAGGUCUCUGUAUUAUGACAUGAACAAACUGGAUCCACAGACAAACUCAAGCCAGAUUAAAGAGGAAUUCCGGACCCUAAACAUGGUGACACCAACGCUGCGAGUAGAGGACUGCAGCAUCGCACUGUUGCCCCGGAACCAUGAGAAAAACCGGUGCAUGGACAUCCUGCCCCCAGACCGCUGCCUGCCCUUCCUCAUCACCAUCGACGGGGAGAGCAGCAACUACAUCAAUGCUGCCCUCAUGGACAGCUAUAAACAGCCUUCAGCUUUUAUAGUCACCCAGCAUCCUUUGCCAAACACAGUGAAAGACUUUUGGAGACUGGUCCUGGAUUAUCACUGCACAUCCGUAGUUAUGCUAAAUGAUGUGGAUCCUGCCCAGUUGUGUCCACAGUACUGGCCAGAAAACGGAGUACACAGACACGGCCCCAUCCAGGUGGAAUUUGUCUCUGCUGACCUGGAAGAGGACAUCAUCAGCAGGAUAUUCCGCAUUUACAAUGCCGCCAGACCACAAGAUGGAUAUCGGAUGGUGCAGCAAUUCCAGUUCCUGGGCUGGCCGAUGUACAGGGACACACCAGUGUCUAAGCGCUCCUUCUUGAAGCUCAUUCGCCAGGUGGACAAGUGGCAAGAGGAAUACAAUGGUGGGGAAGGCCGCACCGUUGUGCACUGCUUGAACGGGGGAGGCCGCAGUGGGACGUUCUGCGCCAUCAGCAUCGUAUGUGAGAUGCUCCGGCACCAGAGAACCGUGGAUGUCUUUCACGCUGUGAAGACACUGAGGAACAACAAGCCCAACAUGGUCGACCUCCUGGAUCAGUACAAGUUCUGCUACGAGGUGGCCCUGGAAUACUUGAAUUCUGGCUGAUGAUGUAAACAGCUCUGCAAACAAUCCCUUUCGUACCACAAAGCCAAGACGUUCCAUGGUAUUUGUGCAAAAGAGAUGAAGACUUCUCAAUAUGCUUAUUUUGCUUUGCAUAAUUGGCUCUUUUUAAGAGCUCAAGAAAGUGUUUCUAAAAUUGCUUGCACUGCCCAAUCCCAGUAAUGCUGCUGCCUGACAGAAACACACACACAGCCACAGUCGCCAAAUCCUGUACUCCUUGCCACCGGCUUCCUAGAGCAGCGUAGACAGCUGGUAAACUGAAGAGCACAACUAUAUUCUUACGAAGGAAUUUGUACCUUUGGGGUAUUAUUUUGUGGCCCGUGACCCUCGUUAUUGUUACAGCUGAGUGUAUGUUUUUGUUCUGUGGAGAAUGCUAUCUGGCAUUAUGGUAAUAUAUUAUUUUAGGUAAUAUUUGUACUUUAACAUGUUGCAUAAUAUAUGCUUAUGUAGCUUUCCAGGACUAACAGAUAAAUGUGUAAUGAACAAAGA
rnacentral:sRNA from 1 species